rnacentral:lncRNA from 10 species
GUGAAAAACACUGUUAAGAGAAUUAAAGGACAAGCUACAGAGCAGGAGAAAUAUUUGCAAAUUACAUAUCCAUUAAAGGAUUUGUAUCCAGAUACUUCACCUCAGAGGAUGUAAGAAUAGCAAAUAAGCACAUGAAAAAAUGUUCAAUAUCAUUAGCCCUUAGGGAAAUGCAAAUCAGGAUACUACUACAGGAUGAGAUACUAUUACACACCUAUUAGAGUUACUAAACUAAAAAAUCACGACAAGACCACAUACUGGAUGGAACAACUUAACUCUCAUAUGUUAGAGGUGAUAAUUCAAAAUGUUACAGCCACUCUGGAAAACAGUUUGGCAGUUUCCUAUCAAAUUAAACAUGUACUUAUCCAAUGACUCAUCAGUGGCACUCCUAGUUAUCUACCCUAGAGAAAUGAAAACUAAAAUGUUUAUAGAAACUAUUUAUAAUCGUCAAAUCCGGAAACAACCCAAAUAUACUUCAAUGAGUAAAUAGUAAUAAACAUACUGUGGAGCAUCCAUCCAAUGGAACACUACUCAGCAGCAAAAAGGAACCAACUAUUAACAUUGUCUUCGUCAAGACUGCUAUAUACCAUAGACAGGAUGGCUUAAAUGACUGACAUAUUUCUCACAGUUCUAGAGGCUGAGAAGUCCAAGAUCAAGGUGCCCUUAGAUUCAAUUCGGUUCUUGGCUAAGGCCUUCUUCCUGGCUUGCCAAGAGCAGCCUUCUCAUGGUUUCCUGACAAGGAGGAGAAAAUGAGUUCUAUUUGGUGUCUCCUCCCCAGCUUUUUUUUUUUUUUUUUUUCUCUUGAGACAGAGUCUUUCUCUGUCUCCCAGGCUGGAAGCGAUUCUCCUGCCUCAGCCUCCCGAGUAGCUGGGGCUACAGGCUCCCGUCACCACGCCCGGCUAAUUUUUCGUAUUUUUAGUAGAGGCGGGGUUUCACCGUGUUAGCCAGGAUGGUCUCUGGUCUGAUCUCCUGACCUCGUGAUCCGCCCACCUCAGCUUCCCAAAGUGUUGGGAUUACAGGCGUGAGCCACGGCACCCGGCCUCUUCCUCUUUUUAUAAAGGCACUAAUCCCGUUGAAGGACUCCACCCUCACAAUCCAAACCUAAUUAUCUCCCAAAGGCCCCACCUCCUAAUAUUACAUUGAGGGUUAGGAUUUCAACAUAGGAAGUUGGGGUUGGGCAUAAACAUUCAGUCCAUAGCAGAUACACACAACAACAUGAAUAAUUAUCAAAGAUAGUAUCCUAAGCCAGUCUCAAAAGGUUAUAUGCUAUACGUUUCCAUUUAUAUGAUAUUGUGGAAAAGGCAAAACUAUAGGUACUGAGAACACAUCCGUAGUUGUCAAGGGUUAAGGUGGAGGAGGAUAGGACCAUAAAAGGAUAGCAUGAGUUAGUAUUUUGGGUGAUAGAACUAUUCUGUAUCCUGAUUGUGAUGGUUAUUGCAUGAAUUUAUAUAUGUUAAAACCUCUAGAGCUAAAACUCUCCCCAAAAAAGUCAAUUUUGU